UUCGUAGCUCAGCGGAUAGAGCGUCUGUCUCCGGAACAGAAGGUCGAGGGUUCAAAUCCCUUCGAGCC
rnacentral:tRNA from 1 species